AAAAUAACAACUUAAUAACUACCAAGAGCCUGGAUCUGUCCGAGGUUUCUGCCUAAAAGGGAGUUUUUCCUUCGCCACUGUCGCACUAAAUGCUUGUUCUUGGGGGAAUUACUGAAAUUGUUAGGUCUUUGUAAGUUAUAGAGUGUCGUCUAGACCUACUCUAUCUGUGAAGUGUCUUGAGAUAACUCUUGUUAUGAUUUGAUACUAUAAAUAAAAUUGAAUUGAAU